GGAGCGGAGGAUCAUUCCGUGCUGGUGGCUGAUGGGGAAGGAGCGGCGGCGGCGGCUCCUCCGCGGUGGGGAUGGGGCGCGCUCUGCCGCCGCUCCCCCUCCGCGCCCGGCCGGAUCCUGGGGGAGGCGCCGAGGCGCGGGGCGGGGAGCGGCGCUUAGAGCCGGAGGCAGCCCGGGCACAGGGGCGCGCAGCCAGGAGGGAGGGAAAGCGCAGGAUGGAGAUGCUUCUUUUACCUGUCCUGAGAGCAGAUAAACGGUAAUGAAAGUGAUUGACAGCUAAGCAAAGCUCUAUUGAGAGUGUGAGAGCUGGGAGAAAGAUCAAGCUGGAUCCAGCUUAAGGUGUGAACAAAGGUGGCCCCUGGGCUGAGGCUUCCCAAAGGAAGGUUUGGGCUGGAGUUUGUGUUAAUGGCACAGGUGAAGACCUUUGGAAAAGAACUUUUAUCGUGGAAACAAAGUGUCUAUUAAGUAGCCAACGUAAUAGUUAAAAAAGUUUCUGAGGAUACAGAGAUGCUUUUUCCUUUGUUUUCUCAGAAGAAAGAAUGUGUUUUGUGUUCUAAUGAUAUAAAUUUGUAUAAAAUGCGUCCUCAAAAGGGUUGGGGGGAACUUACUCGAAGUUCAAACCCAACAUUAAAUGUUUUAACCUGUUGGUUUCCCCUCUGCCUCAUUCACGUGCGUGUUGCUUGUGUCGCAAGGGUUUGGGAAGCCUCAAGAGAUGCUUGGAGAACUGAACUGAAUGGAAAUGUUCCACAGGCCAAACACCUAACCUUCCUAUCACAAAUAAAUGUUAAAUGAUGCUUUUGCAGCAUAAAGCUUUUCUUAAACAGCAACCAAAAAAAUCUGGUCACUGGACUGACACUUUUAGGAUAUGAAAGAAAGUAAGUCAGCUUUGAAACUGGAUGUGAUAAGAUGUGAUAAUGCCAUUUGAACUAAGGAUCCCCUUUGUAAUAGAGGAAGAAACUGUUACAUGUUGAUGAAGCACUCCUCAGUCUUAGUUGAGGAGUUUUUAUGAAGUGUUUCUAUGAAUAAAGCUGUCAAACUGUUAUAGAUUUCAUUGAUUAGAAAUGCCUCUGUGUAUGGAAUGCUGGCUUGUUAGAGCCCUGAGCAGAGCAAGUGCUCUGAGCCCUGCUUGCACUGGUGGGAAACUGCCCUGUAGGAUCCCUGCUCAGUCCCCACUUGGAACAUCAAAAUAUCCUCUGUUCUUAUCUGCAUGUUCUGCUUUUUAAAGCUGAAGUACAAAGAAGUUAAUAUUGUGAGUAAUCAUGGUAAUCGCUACAGUUAAUGUUUGAUUUUCGUACGUGGUUCACAUAUUUAUCUGAUUUCUUCAUUGCUCAAAGUGAUCUGCUGUUAACUGUCUGAAAGGAAAGUUCUGAACACAGGUUUGAAGCUGAUCCAGAAUCCUGGGCCAAAAUCUAAAGCGCUGGAACACUCGCUGUAGGAACCCUUCAGUGACAGCUGAGCCUGAGUUAGGUUUUCAUGCGCUCCUCUGUGAUCAUCAUCCAGGUAUUUUCUGAUCCAGCUUUAAAAACUACUUAAUGUAACUGCAAUUUGGCCAAUGAGGUGAUUUCAUCUGCAGUUUAUAUUUUGUUAUGGAUGGUUUCUUAACAUGAAUACUGCAGCCUUACAUUAACACAAGCUUCAUACGAAGGGCUCCUUUGCAUUAAGCAUCUGCAUCAUGUGUGAAAUCCUGUGUUCUGUGUCUGUAUAAUUGCUGGGCAGCUGAGCGUUUGCCAAAAUGAACUGCUGAUUGUUUUUGUUGGGACUUAUAAUACUCCUUUGUAGAUCUUCUGGGGUCUUGUUUGUCCCUGCUGCAUCUAGACAAUGCCUUCCUUCAUGUUUUGGGUAACGUCUUCUUCAGUCGCUUCUGUGUAUGUAGAUACAGUAACUGGAAAGAGAAAACCCUGUUCUUAAAUCAUCCCUCUUCCCAACCUUAGCUUCCCCACCUGCAUCAUAGCUGGAGGAUGGUCACUGAGGGCAAUGCAGAACGGUAUUGAUUGCUGCUAUCCAGGAAUUCUGGGGAAAAGGGACAAAAAUGAACAUUGGGAAAUGAUAUACAUUUUCUGACACCACCAGUUUAUGCUUUGAGACCCUUAAAAUCAAUAGGGGGGUGCUACAGGCAGGAUAAAAAGAGGAGGAAGAGUAGCUCCAGACGUUGGAUGCAUAAGCUCUGGAGCUUACAGCUGCUCGAAGAGGCUGGAUGGUGAUGCUGUGCCUUUUGCCUGUUGCUUAAAUCUCUCAGCAGUGGUUAGCAAGGUGUAAACUGAGCGAUCAAGUCGAAACCCAGAAGGGCUCUUGUCUGCUGUUGUUUGCUCUUUUCUUUUUCUAAUCAGCCCUUUGAUGAGGGAGUUGGGCAAGUUCCAAACAGUGUUUUCCUGUGCUUGCUUCUGGGACCACUGUGUAAUUGCUCUGGAAUAUGAGCGAUUCCCAUUGGAUUCUGCAUUAAUUGUUCACAAAUAUCCCACGUUUGUGUCACUACACUCUGUUUUCAGCCGCGUUUCAAGUAAGACAUUGAUACUCAGGUGGGAAACUCAGACAAGAAAUGAAGAAAGGUUAUUUAAACAAUCUAUAGACUGGGAAGCAGCUGGUUUAGGUUGGCAAAUUAGGAGAGGAGGUGAAUACUUCUGGUAUGUCUCAAAACUGGCUUUUAUUUCCCCAGAGUUGAGUGUAGGAUGCUAUUUCCCUUUUUAUUUGCACGCUAUCAGGCACACCAGUGGAGCAUAGACAUUCAUAAUUAAUGAAACAAGGGAAGAAAUGGUUUCAUACAGAUUUGCUGGUCUUCAGGAGCAGACUGGUCCGUACAUACACCCAUAAACCUUCCUUAACUUGUACACUGUUUUUUUUAACACAGCUUAAAUAGUUCUCUGCGAGUCUCUUGCAGUAACUGUCCCUCCCUAGUUCUGUUUGUCAAAUAUGUUCUUUGAUUUCCUACCAGAACUGGCUGUCACAGUUGGCAUAAUUUAGGAGAGGGUUUAGAUGAGUUUUGGAGGGGAUUUUGUUAUGUUUUGUAUUUUUCAGCCAGGAGACAUGCUGUAUAUCAUCUCUUUGUGAAAAGAAUGCUUAAGAGUGUUCAUUAAGUUUAUUCUUCAGUGUUCUUUAGAUACCCAGGCAAUUCCUCAUGUUAACUGGCAAGUUCCUGAAGCAUUAAUCGUUUUAUUAUGAAGGUAAGAUGACAUUGUUACAAAUAAGUGCUUUUUUAUGACUUUGGUAUUUCAUUUUACUGUAUAGGAUUUAACAAGGGAAAUUGUUCCGUUCCAGUGGCUUCUCAUAUAUAUUACUUAGUUUGUAAGUGAAUCUUCAGCCACUCUUACUGCUGUUGGUCUUCCUUUUACAAGCAGUCGUAUCCAUAUCAACCUCAGAACUUCUGUAAAACCUCAUGAAUUAGACAUUGCGAGCCAAAAAUAUUAUGGAUUAGCUUCAUUGCUGCAUAAACCUUUAGGGUAAUUUGGGGGGAAAAUCCUAACUUGAAGAAACAGCAUAACUUCGAAGUCUGAGGAGGCCACGCAGCUUCCUGAGUAGCUUGCAGAGAAUCAAAAUACAUUGACUUGUUGGACGUGAGACAAGAGGGAGGGUGGAAAAGCAGCAUUAUUACUGCUAUUAUUUUAGCCUGCAAUAAGUCUGUGAGUGGGUCAGCACAGAAGGAGGAAAAGAACUUUAGAGAUUCUUGUAAAGCUGCUGAUGAAAUUCCUUUAAAACAGCUGAUAAACUCAGCUGCGCUAUGGCAGAGUAAAACACGCAGUUUGAGGUAGGAAAGAAAAAUUACCAUUUUUAGUAGAAAGAGCUUCAGAAGGUUACGUACCAAAACUCGGAGCUAAAAUGCGUGUUAAUGAUUUUGUAACUAAGGUAUUAAUGGUGAUGUCAAAAUGAAGUUUGAGAAGUUUGCAGGAUUGAUUUGGCUGUUCCUGAAGAUGGUGAGAGGCAUUUGGAGGACUCUAAAACGGAAAAUGCAGAUUCUUGUCAAAUCUGUGUGUUGGGGUAAAUAGAGAAGUGUUUUGGGUUUUUUUUUUAAUAGCAGCUUGCCUGAGCAGCUUAAAGCACCAAGAACAUGAUGUCAGGUUUUUACAGGGCCUGCACACCAGCCCUCUGAAUGUAGGUGAAAGUACAGCAGCCGUCCUGUGCUCUGGGGCUUCCAAGAAUUGGGAGUGUUUGACCAGUUCUGCUCUUUACCAGGGGGAAAAAAGGGAGAUAAGCUUGUAGUUUUUAUACUUUACAGAAUGACUAGGUUUUGAUUUAGCACAAGUACUUCAGAAAGAGAGUCCCUUUCUUUCUGCACUCACCUGCUGUAGAAAGUGUGUAUUGUAGGAAACUUGCUGCAGUGGAUGUGGGAGCUUUCAAGUCUGAUGGUUGAAGUAGUGAAGAUAAGUGUGGACAGUUCUUGGGCAGGGGACUCCAAGAGGUAUGUGAUUCAUGGGACAUAGCUACUGGUGUAAUGACCAGUGCAGCUGCUGGAGGAGCUUCUGCUAAGACUAAAAACAUCCAUUGUGUCCAAUGCUCUGCUGGGUGUAGUGUAAGUGAUAAAGGUGGGAGCAGCAGAAGGGUAAUGCCUUGUUCCACUUGCCAGCUUCAGACCAGUGUGGAUGGAGCUGUUUCUGCCUCACAGGGUUUCCUCAAGUGUUUAGGCUGGGCUGAAAUCUUGGAAUUGGAAUUUGUAAGAUUUUGAGUUGUGUUUUCUGUAACUAAUCAUGCGAGGACAGGGAUUCAGAGGGACAGAAUUGCUCUGGUGAUGAGUAAAACCUGUUGAAUUCAGACAAGGAAAAACCCCAACCCUUAAACAUAAAUACCUUUUAUUUCUGCACUUCCAUUAUACAAGGUUUUAUUUCAGUAAUAAAGGAAUUUAUUUCAGCGUUGUAAUAAAUUGGGCUUUCCAACUUCCUUCUGUGGUAUUACUUCCUAUUUGCCAUUCCUUAAGCUGUAGGUCAGACUUUUCAUUUAUUAAUAGUUGUUUCCUGUUAUGUUGAAUGGAACAUUUUCAGAUUUCAAUCAAAAUGGAAUUUGGAAUGAGGAGAUUUUGAAGAAUUUGGGGGGACAAGGGGUAAGGAAUGUUCUGCUAGACCCAGGCUUCCCUUUAAUAUGUAUUUGUAGUUCAAAUGAGAAAAAGAAUUCUUUCCCUGGGAGGUGGGGAACUUCUGAAGUACUAACCCUAAAAUGUUCUUUUCUCUCACUAAUGUGCCAUCAAACCUCACUUUUUUAGCACUCUUAAGUGCAGUUUCUAUCUGCAGUUGUUACAGUCAGUUACCAAAGGUCAUGCAUCAGCCAAAGCAGGGUCUGGAAUUCGGGAACUCUGCCUUUCAUCAGCAGGGCAGCCUGGUUAACUGCCUAACCCCAACAUCUGCAUUAGCAGGUCAUCAAAUUUCACCUGUGCAGUAGGAAUAAUUACUCUGUCCUACUUAAGAGACUACUUGGCUUCCUUCCUGGCUCUUCUGGGUUAUCAGCAACACAUACAUCCGCACAUGCAACCUCCCUGAUUUCAUUCAGUCUUCCUUAAUCCUCCUCAAGGAAUCUCCAGGUUCGCUCUUCUCAACCUCCCAUCUGCCUGUUGCUUCACUUCUGUCACUUCCAGCUGCUCUUUCUUAAGGCCCUGCCUCCUACAGCUUGUUUGGCAUUCCAAAGCAGAGGCUUUGUGGAUUUGGGAAAAGGGGGAAGAGGGAAGGGGAAGUUAUACAAAGUUAUCACAAGAUUUCAUGGAAAUGUUCUGUAAACAUCCCUGGCUGUUGCUUCUGUUGGCUGCUACUGUACAACUCCUACAGACCGAAAUCGAGGCCAAAUGCGAGUCCUGCAGCAGCCCUACUAUAGGAUUGAGCCUUACUAUGGGAUUCAACCCUAUUACAGGCACGAAGUCGUCUUUAUUCCUCCCAAGCACCUCCUGACUGCCAACAGAGCAAUAGCGAGUAGUGGAGCUCUGUAGCUCCCAUCUGGUGGGUGUAUGUAUGCAGUGGGGCUCAGCACUUCAAGAGUGACUUUUUGUGGCAGUUGUAUUGCAGAUUUUCUUUGUCAUAGAUGGCUUUUGGUUUAUGGGAUGAGAGUCACAUUGCAUUUCAGAAAAUGCCAUUAAAAAUUAGGAUUCUCUGUAAAACUUAUUUGUGCCUGAAGGUUGUGGUUGGUUUUUUUUUUUAACAAUGAAACCCCCACGCCUGAAAACUGUAGCUUAAUGCUUUUUCUGUGCCCUCUUCAAACCUCUUUCCAAUAUGGAAAACAGGGUGAAAAUGAUUAUUGCUUAAAAACCUAAACAAUCUCCUUUUAAAUCCAAUGAAACAAAAGUAGUUCCAGCUCUAAAAUGAAACCCACGUUUUCAGCUGGCGUAAAAGGAGAUCAGCUUAUCCCGGUGUGUUUUCCCUCAACAAUUAGGUCUUCAGUCUCUAAAGUAGGUUAACAAAUAAGAGUUUAAUAAUCCUUUAGUGUCUCUGCUUUUCUUUGUGUCUUGUUAAUUGUUCUGCCUAACAUAAAGGUUCGGUGCAUUGUGCACCCAUCACUUUUUUGCCCAGUUACAUGAAUAAUUCUGCUGUCAAUCUUGAAAGUUUGUCAGUCAAAGGGCAGUAGGAGCCGGAACUGCUGUUUCAGCCAGUGCUCUGAGAGAGGGUUUUGCCAUUCUCAUAAUGGUUCAAAAGCUCACUGAACCAAAGCCAGCCACUCAAAUAAUCAUUGAAUCAUUCACAACUAGGAAUAAUAUCCAUGAGAUGUACAAACUGGGGGGGGGAAGACUUGCGUGUAUUUUAUAGAUGGGUAGAUUGAGCUGAGGUUGGGAUGUGUAUGUCAUGUAGAAACGUAGAUAGAGCAGUACUUGGACGUUGUGAGUUACCCUUCCCUAUUUCCCUGAAAGGACCUGGUGCUCCUCACACAUGCAGGCUAGUCCUCGAGCAUAGCGUAUCUUCUAUUUCUUUAUGCAAAAUAGAAACAUAAAUGCAGCUACUUUUAGAGGUAGAAAAGGAAAAGUUAAUGUAACAAAUGAAAGACUUGUGCUAUAAUAUGUGGCUACUUUCUUUAUUGAGAAAUGGGAUGAAGGGGAAAGGAAAUCUGUAGUGUAGAAGUUAUCAAAACCAAAUUAAUUUUAAAGAUAAAAGAUGGGUGUUUUUGGAAAGUCACAGCUCAGGGUUCUUGCAACGAUGUCUUUAAAGUGGAAGUGGUGUACUGGUACGCAUGUGAUGAGCUGGUGCUGAGCAGGAGGCUGAGCACGCACUGGUUGUGGUGGCCUUGCUCACAGAGUUAAUGGGAUUGUGCUGCUGAUGUUGUGAGCGCUUUGGUUUUGGCUCGUAAGCCGCUUACAGUUCCACUUCUGCAGUGAGAAUAAAGAACAAUCCACAAGCUGGUCCAGAAGCUGCUGGUAGACAUCAGCCAUGAGAUCUAGCCUGGCAUUUAAUUAAAAUUGAAUCAAGUAAAUGUUGGGUUUUUUCUUCUGGAAGUAAUUGAGUGUCAUAAUCCUCUUGUGGCCACAUUGUGUUGGUUUAGCUUCUAGGUGGGUAUGGAGCUUCUGGGCAGCAAAAGCUGGAGUUUCACAAGUGGUCCAUGUGCUCCCUCCUGUAGAGCUGUAACUCGGGUGUGUUUCGUGUCUGCUAACACAAUAGUGGCUACAGGGGCAGAGGAGGGCUUGGAUGAGUUGAGUUUUCCUUCAGUAGCCUGGCGAGUGAAGGUCCUUAACUCCUUCCUUAUGGGAAGAGGAGCCUAAAGCAAACAGAGGCCUCCCGACAGAUCAACCUCAGCGUGCUGCUCCAGAGAAACAUAUUCUGUGUUUGUUAUUUUCUGGGUAACAGCCAAAUCAUUUGUUGUCCCUCCCCACACACACUUCCAUUUAUAAAGGAAGUCUUCAGUGUUUUGUAUGUCACAAAAACUGUUCAAAACCAGACUUGAGCAAUUGAAAUUCAAUUUAGUUCAAUCAGAGCGAUUCAAUUGACACAGCUGAGUUCUGUGAUCUGAACAAAAGGGUUUGCUUUAAUUGUGUAGGAAUAUAUAAAUGAUGAUGUGAUUGUCUUGUUCCCAGCCCUCCAGAUAGAUGUAAUGCAUUUUAAAGUUUACUAGUGUACACCCCAUUUUAAUAUUUGAGGUUUGUGUGGUGCUUCGGGUUUUCAUCAAAUUGCAGGUGAAAAUAGUCCCCUGGAAAACAAGAAAGGGUUUGGGGGGGUUGUUCUAGGGGUGCUGCUGAGUCUGGUAGAUGGCUCUGCUAUCCAUUCUGUCUUGAGACAUACAGUCUUGUAGUACCCACCUGCAGGUGAUAACUCAUUUGUGGUUGUGAUUCACAGUUCAGCUGUAGUGAUGCUUGAGUCAAAACCUGAGCUUUAUCUUGGAGCAGAAGUGGUUAUGAUGUCUGAUUUCCUUGAAUCUAUUUACGCUGGUGAGUCUACAACACACAGUGGGGUGCAAAACCAAUGUGAACAUGUUUAUUCCCUAA